rnacentral:rRNA from 1 species
AUUGAACGCUGGCGGCAGGCCUAACACAUGCAAGUCGAGCGGAUGAAGGGAGCUUGCUCCUGGAUUCAGCGGCGGACGGGUGAGUAAUGCCUAGGUAUCUGCCUGGUAGUGGGGGAUAACGUCCGGAAACGGGCGCUAAUACCGCAUACGUCCUGAGGGAGAAAGUGGGGGAUCUUCGGACCUCACGCUAUCAGAUGAGCCUAGGUCGGAUUAGCUAGUUGGUGGGGUAAAGGCCUACCAAGGCGACGAUCCGUAACUGGUCUGAGAGGAUGAUCAGUCACACUGGAACUGAGACACGGUCCAGACUCCUACGGGAGGCAGCAGUGGGGAAUAUUGGACAAUGGGCGAAAGCCUGAUCCAGCCAUGCCGCGUGUGUGAAGAAGGUCUUCGGAUUGUAAAGCACUUUAAGUUGGGAGGAAGGGCAGUAAGUUAAUACCUUGCUGUUUUGACGUUACCAACAGAAUAGGCACCGGCUAACUUCGUG